UGGGGAAUUUUGGACAAUGGGCGAAAGCCUGAUCCAGCCAUGCCGCGUGAGUGAAGAAGGCCUUCGGGUUGUAAAGCUCUUUUAGCCGGAAAGAAAGAGUUGCAAUGUAUAAUUGUGAUUUAUGACGGUACCGACAGAAAAAGCACCGGCUAACUACGUGCCAGCAGCCGAGGUAAUACAUAGGGGGCGAGCGUGAAUCGGAAUUACUGGGCGUAAAGGGUGCGCAGGCGGUCUUGCAAGUCAGAUGUGAAAGCCCCGGGCUUAACCUGGGAAUUGCGUUUGAAACUACAAGGCUAGAGUGCAGCAGAGGGGAGUGGAAUUCCAUGUGUAGCAGUGAAAUGCGUAGAGAUGUGGAAGAACACCGAUGGCGAAGGCAGCUCCCUGGGUUGACACUGACGCUCAUGCACGAAAGCGUGGGGAGCAAACA
rnacentral:rRNA from 1 species